rfam:Pan troglodytes isolate Yerkes chimp pedigree #C0471 (Clint) chromosome 8, whole genome shotgun sequence.
GCCAGGCAUGGUGGCUCAGGUGUGUAGUCCCAGCUACUGGGGAGGCUGGAGUGGGAGGAUUGCUUGAGCCCAAGAGUCCUGUGCUGACCAGAUGUCUGCACUAAGCUCCAUAUCAAUAUGGUGACAUCCUGGGAAUGAGGGACCACCAGGUUACCUAAGUAAGGAAAACUCCCGUGCUGAUCAGUAGUGGAAUUUCACCUGUGAAUAGCCACCACACUCCAGCCUGGGCAACAUAGCGAGACCCCAUCUCUA